CGCAAGAAGAGCAGGGGAAAGAGAAACCCUUCUCCUUUAACCUAACUCAAGAAUCACUUCAAUUAAGGGUGUUAUCAAGAAAGAAUCGGAAGCAUGGGUCCAAGAAAUCUCUAAUCUAAGCAUAUUGAACAUAAGGAUCAUGUUAAGAUGGGAGAAACAUGGAAGGCUACGUAAAGGAUAUGAGGAAGCAUGCACGAGACGGGCACUCGAGGUACUAAUUAGAAGUAAUAAACGAAGGAAGCCAAGGCUUACGCAGCCCGCGAGGGACCGUGCUGCAGGCAGUUUGUUGGAUUUUAGUUGUUUUAUACAUUGGACUUGUUUAAAUGGUGUUCCAAGGUCACAUAACUUAUGUUAAGGAUUGGUUUUGAAUAUAAGAGAUGUUAAGGGUCGUCGGUUAGUGAAAGAAUGGAUUUGUUUUCGUUUAGUGUAAGAAAUUGUAUAAGUAAAUAUGUUUAGGAAUCUAGUAGGCACGUAGGUCGUUUUGUAUAUUGCCUAUAUUAUGUUAAGUUGUGAAUAUGCCAUUUCGGCGUAAGCGUAUGUGUAUGAAGUGGUAAGUAUGAGCUAGUGCAUAUAAAUUCGUAAAUGAUUGUUUGUGUGUAGGUAGGGACGUAGACAUGCAUGAAGGUACGUUUGCAUAUAGGUGUAUGUGAUAAUAGGCGCGUAAGUGUGAAUGCAUGUGUGUAUGAAUAUACGAUGCUAAAGAUAUACGUAUGAACGUUAUCAAGGCGUCGGAGUACUUACGAUUACUCAUGAUGUGCUUUGAGUUUGGAAUGUAAUGCAAGCAUGA